rnacentral:lncRNA from 1 species
AAUGAUUUAAAAUCCUUUCAGACAAGAUAGUCAUACAGUUUGACAUGAUCUCCGACCCAUCAACAGAUUAUCUACACAUGUUCGUCCCUAAAACGAACAUGGCCGACAAAUAAAGGGGUGUGUUGUAGAUAUAAAAUAAAUAAUAAAAGUGUCAUUUCCGCUUUUAGAUGAGAGAACCACUUCAAUACUAUGCAAUGUUCAGUAUGAUUAAAGCCAAAUUACCUCCUUCUCAUUUUUAUAAAUUUGAGCACAAUCAAUAUGCCGGUAACCCAUCUGUAGCAAAAAGAAGAGAAUGAUUAGGUUGUGCCAGAAUGCCAAAAUCACUAAGUUGCAAGUGACACUUCAAAGUGGUUGAACUCUUAGAACUACUCCAAAGUUACUUUAGUAGCAUUGUAGUAACAUAACUUCUUAACAUCUAUUUUGGCCAUUACAAGUAAGAACUACGAUACAGAAAAUAAUUCUCAAAGAAGAGCAAUGCACCCACUAAUAUAUACAUUUCCAUAAACUCAAAUAAAAGUUAGACCCAUGCACAAUUUCAUCACUAAGCAUAUGUGGGAAGUGGGAACACAUAUUUCCUUCACUUUUUUCCACAUUUGAACGGGAUACCAGUGUAAUCUUCUACAAAUACUCUAGGAAAGUAUAUAUUAAAGGGAAAAAGCAUUCAGAAUAUGUAUCUCUAAUUUUGAAUCCGACCACCUCCAAUAGUAAGAGCUUCUACUCAUUGUUUUCAAAUUCAUAAACAAACACCACGUCCAGAGAGAACACUGCUGUUUACCAGAGACAAUCUCUCUGCCCUCGAUACUAACUAUUUAAUCUUUUCACACCUAGAGACUUAAGGAAUAUAGCACUAUUUCCAAUCAAACAUAGUGCUCACUCAAUAACAUUUCAUGUGACAUACUUUCCUUUACACUCUUAUCGCAAAAAAAAAUUGACACCUUUCAACUUUAGAAACAAAUUCAUUUUACCCUUAAUGAAAUUAUUACAAUGUUUAUGACUUGUAUACCACAACUCUCAAAAGUUUUUUCCUUUCUUAAACUAUGUCCACAGAAGUCUUUUGUGUUCUGAGGCAUAAUCCACUCCAUAGUCAGCUUAGGAUACUAAUAAAUUAAGGACGAGUACCAGCAGAACAUAGCAAAACACAUAUAUCCAUCUUUAUUCAUAUGAGUUUUUUCCCCUAAACUUAAUUGAAACAACUAAACAAAAAUUAACAGUUUAGCGCCAACUUUAUGCACUGCAAUUUUGAUAGAGAUCGUUUGCACUAUAUUAUAAAAGCGGAAUGCGUUUUCUAUAUGAUGUAAGUCUCUACCGAAGUGUUUGUUAUAUAUUUUAAAUUACGAAUAAUAAAUCUUAAAUUAUAAACUAAAAUCUCAGCAGUAUAUACUACUUAUUACACAUGCGUUUUCAUGCUUUUCUCAAGACUUAUGAAGUAUUUGGAGACGCAAAACAAGCAUUCACGAAAUUUCACUCUAUAAAACAUAAGUCACAGAAGCUCGAAUCACGUUAGAUCGAGUCUCGUUGAAGAAGAAAAACAAAGUAUCAACUGUUAAUUCGUAAGUAAUUAAAUCUACAUAGAUAGAAACUAAAACUACAGAUACACAGAUAUAUGGCGAGAGAUAGACAGAAAAAACCUUGAUAGCAGUCUCCACAGCUUUGCCGACGACACCGGGAUCGGACUGCCAUGUUCCCAAACCGACCGCCGGAAUGCUGAAACCGGUAUUCAACUUAAAGUACGGCAUCUCCGUCGCCUCCGCCAUUGAUACAAAAAGAGGAGGGAAAUUGAAAAAAAAGAUAGUGAACCGUAUACUGCCAAAGAGAGAAAAAGUUAUUGAUGAGUACAGAGUAGCAAUGCGAAUUGAACUUUGCACUUCCCCUCUCCUUAUAUAUAUAUUAUGUAAAAGAAAUGAAGAUAAUGUGUCAGUUACAACUGUUCCCUUCUGAAGCUGACACAUGGUUUGUCAUUUCACUGUAGUCAGAACGAUUUGUCGACUUUUGUCGUUAUUCUAGAUGGUUAUUUUUGGGGGAAAUGCGAAGGUCUUUUUCAAAAAAUUAAUCUGUCAUUCAUUAGACGGCAGAAUCUUGUCUAAAUAAAUCAAUUCUAGAUUUGGAAAAAGGGCUCAUAACGAAGGCCGUACAAAAAUUGAUUUAAUCGAUUUAUCAAAUCGAAUCAAAAAAGAUAUUAUUAAUUUAUGAGAAAAAUAUUUAAAAAAUAUUUUUAAAUUUGACGUCGAUUAUUAGUUUUAUCUCUAAAUUAUUAAUGGUCUUAAAAACAUUCAUCUACUUGACUAACUAAACUUAAAUACACACAUGACAUAGCAAGUAGUCAAACUCUUGUAGAGGCAUGGAGCUCUUAAUAAAACAUCAAGGGAAGGGUUGAAAGCACUUCUAAAUUUGACGAGAAUUUAGGAGUGUAUUUCCCUCAUUAUGCAAGAUCGGGAUAUAUUUAAGUUCAAUUAGUCAAUUAAAGGAGUGUUUUUUCUAGUUGACAAUAGUUAGGGAAUGAAACUAGGCAAGAAAGGAUGAUGUGGAGGUCAUACCCGAAGACGUCUUGCUCGAUACAGAGUGGGUUACGAAGGUUAGAGCGAGGAUGAACGCAGUUGAGAUACUAGGUCAACGCUUGGAAAAGGUAGAAGGCACUCUAAGCGUUCUUGAGGGGCACACUCUCGAGAAGAUUGAGAUCAUCUGAAAUGAUUUGGAUGGCAUACACAAAAGGUAAAACCAAGAUAGAGAUAAGGCAAAUUAUCGUUACUUUAGAGUAGUCGUUGAGCACUAAUGAUACCAUGAAGGUAAAAAUGGAGGUACUCAAAGAGCAGGUUAACGUUGGCGUGACUGAGACAAUCAGAAAUAUUGUGGUGAUGAGGGAGGCUAAAGACAAUUUAUGGUAUUUUGAUUUUGAGAUAUUGCAAAACACAUAGCAUAAUUAUUGGUGUUAUAUACCACAAAUAUACAGUUGAAAAUAAAAUGAUAAAAAUGAAUAAAAAAUAUAUUCAGACUGAGCCGCGGAUAUCUCACAUUCUUUAAGAAGAUUCAAUCUCAUUGUGGCAUAAUUUACACAGAUCCAACAAUAUCACUCUUGACUUGUCAUCUUCCGAAUACCACAACUCAACAGUAUCGUACAACUCGAACAACUCUCGGUUAAUUGAAGAGUUCAAAAGUCCACAAAAAGAAUAUCUUCCUUCACCAUAUUACUCUCUUUUGUAUAAUGAAUUAGUUGAAGACUUAAAAUACUAUUAUUUAUCUUAACUCUCUCUUUCACUACAGUAAUUCAAUAUAUACAUAAUACAAUACUUCUCGUCUCUUCUUACACUUUUCUUUUGUUUUUAAUACAAAGUAAGAGCACACUAUUUAUAAGUGAAGAAUUUUUCAUUGCAAUAAAUAGAAAGAUUAUGAGUAGUAAUUAGAUAAAUAAAUAAUCCAAAAUUUAUAUGAAUUACUAACAUAAUUAAUAAGAUAGAAUAAUGAGUUGAAUUUUCAUAGCUGAUAGCAACAAUAAAUUUUCAUAAGUAAUAAUAAAUUUUCAUAAGUAAAGUUUGGACUUUUAUAUUUGUUAGUUAAUUUUACAUGUUUAUGUACUAAGUUUGACUUAUCCAUGUUCAGAACAUUAUAAAAUUAGCAUAUUUUGUACUUCUGGCUUGCAAAAUAGUUUAUUUUUACCUCUUUUUCACUAACGAAGCCAUUAAAAAAAUUAAUAAAUAUGGAAAACGUCCAAAUUCGGCUCUCUAAUUUGUGAAGUAUUUACUUUAGCCCUCAGUAUAAUAAUAUUAUCUUUUCUCACUAAGAGCUCCACUUUGAACCACAAUUUUAUGCAUGUUAAAAACUACAAAAUUAUACUUGACCAUUAAUUGAACCACCUCUUAAUUACUACUUUACUACCGUUGUUUACUCAUUGCAUGUGUUACAACACAUUAGUCAGUAACAGGAGAAGACUGAGACAGGAACUAAAAAUAGCACUGCCAAGUGAAAUUUAAGCAUGCUAUGUGUGUGUGUUAGUUUCAUGUCAUGCGUGCGCUUGAUUCAAGUAGUAUGAGAAACACGUUCAAUUGCCAAGUAUUAACAGUGAUGUUUAAACCCUCAAAUAUUCUGUUUUUUUUUUUCCUUUCCCCGUCUGAUGGACAAAACUAAAAGUACUUAAUUCAUCCACCAAACGAAAGGAAGGAGACAUAGCCUCACCAGGAGCAUAGUAUUUAACUACUCCACAAUAAAAGAUGACUGCAAAAGUUGAUGGUUUAGGGGUAGUAUUAUCCCAGCAAAUCAAAUUUUUGAAUACUGUCUCGUAGUUGAAUGGUUUUCCAGCAUAGAGUCAAUAGAGGGAUAGGGGGUGCAAGGAAACCUACAUCUAAUGGUUUGAAAAUUCAUCGAUCACCAAAAGUUCAAAGGAAAAGGAAGUGCACAAGAAGCUUGAAUCUCUGAGACAAAUGGAUUAAGAUUUGCCUAUCUUUGACAGUUAACUCAUACUGUGACCUUAGAUCUCAUCAUCCCACAGCUCUUCAAGUGUUCUGUACUGGCCAUGCGUCUCGUGAACAAAUGAAAUGCCUCUCAGCAGCCUUGCCUGCAAUGUCAAUAAAUCCAUGAACUGCAUUAAUAGAGUUUGUGAUCAAAAUAUCUGGUAAACAGACUUAUAUAGACACUUAUCGCAACCAUCCAGGAAGUUUAAAGAGUAUAAGUGAGGCAGGGCACAGAUAAAAGGGGAUUUCAUUUUCUUUUGGUCCCGAUGGGGUGUUGUCUAACUAGCACACCGCAGUAUAUGGUCAUGCAUAUUAGACGUUCGUUUGACAGUAUGAAUCUGUCACAAGUAAGAGGUAUCAAAGCAUCUAUUUGUAAAUUAUAUGAAUGUCACCAAGCGGUAUCAAAGAAGUCAUGAAUACAAGUCUGACAGAGAUUCAUUAUGUGCAAUGCAAGUCUCAUUCGUGUUUCUUUCUUCAUUUUUAUUUACUUUUCCCUUGGAACAUGGAUUGCUAUCUCAGAGAAGAUAUACAGCCAAUUUCUAGGUCCGUUUGCACUUUUCAAAUUUGAAAUUAAUAUGAUAAGAGAGAACAAAUUUACAAUUGCAAUCUCAGUAAUAUCAAAAGAAAUUGCCAUAACAAUGAAAGAAUUUACCUGUGGAAUUUCAGAGAACCUGGCAAGCAAGUCAUCAGGUAUAGACCAGUUCAGUACAUCAAGAUUCUCUUUAAUCCGUGCUUCAUGUGUGCUCUUAGGAAGUACACUCUGACCCAUCUGAAUGCCCCAACGAAGACAAACCUGUGCAGGAGUCUUGCCCAAUUUCUCAGCAACUGAGAUUACAGCUGGCUGCUUUAGCACAUCACUUUUAAGCCAUGUUGUACCUGGAGACCCAAGCGGCGAAUAUGCCUGAAAUAAAAAGGUGUCGAGAAAAGGAGUAAAAACAGUAACUCAUUGUCAAUCUACUCAUGUAGACAGAUGACUAGUCAAUGGUUACCAACAACCAAACUCAUGGAACAAAUAAAUUCAUCCCCUAUGAACAAUUGUUCACAGUAAUCAGAAGAAAAUGGAAAUUGGAGAAAAAUCUAAUGAAAACUUGACCACAAUGUACACAAGGGGUACAAGAGCUUUAGAAAUGAACUCACAGAGAGGUGCACUUCAUUGGAUUUACAGAACUCGCGCAAUUUGGCUUGUUGCCACGAAGGAUGGCACUCCACCUGGUUGACAGCAGGACGAAUACGUGCUACUUGUAAAAGAUCUCCCAGUUUCUUAGUAGAGAAAUUGCUAACACCAAUAACUCUAGCCUUCCCGGAAUCAUAAACUUUUUCCAUUGCUUCCCAUAUGCUGGGUAUGUUGGUUGGCAUAAGAUUUUCAGGUUUAAAGUCAACUGAUCCAGGCUUCAUACUGACAGGCCAAUGGAUCUAUAGAAACAAAAGUCUCAAUUUAUUUACAAGGAUACCAUUUAAUACAGAAAAAACAAAAGAACAAGUAAAUCACUUAAAUUUAUAAAACUAAUGAACUCUCUUUUGAUGUUUAAAUUUUUCCAAGAUAUGUAGAAGUUCAACGGCAGUAUUUAUAGUUCUCUGGAGCAUCGUGGCAGCUCUAAAAUUUCAUUCUGGUGCAUCUACUUAAGGGAAGAGUGGGAGUAUAUUGCAGUGAACACUUCUUAGAAGUAUAUUAUAAUAAUUUAGUAAUAUGGCUAUGAACUAUUUAGCAAACUUAGAAAUACUAGCAGAAAGAAAGUUUCACAUUAAGAAGAACUUACGAGGUACAGGUCAACGUAUUCCAGCUGCAAGUCUUUAAGAGUUUUGUCUAGUGCGACUGGUACAUCUUCAGGUGCAUGAUUAGUGUUCCUAAAAAAGUUAAUACACUUGAAUGUAUGAGUAUCCUGAAACACUAUGGAGACCACAAUGAUGGAAAAAACAGAGGCCCAUCAGCACCAUUUUAGUGCUAAAAGCAGAGUAGGUAUUGAAUUACCAAGAUAUCAGGAAACAUAAAUAAUAAAAGGGGGAACUCAACAAUGAUAAACAAAAGACCAAUGGUAAAAGAUUGAUGAGAAUAACUUCACAAAGUUGAACAAGUUAACUUCAUAAUGGAAAGAAAUUGACUCAGCAUAUUUAAAUUUUAGGGCGAACAACAAGGAGGUAAGUUGUAAUAGGAAUGUUUGAAUACAUACGAGAGUUUGGAUGUAAUAAAUAGAUCUCGCCUCUUGACAACACCAUCUUUAAACAGCCUGCUCAAAACUUCACCAAUCUUUGAAGAAGAAAAAAAUGAGACAAGUUCUAGAAAGCAGGACAUGUUUUACAUUCUAACAAAAUGAAACUUGGUUUGAACAAAUUCAACAAAUCAGACUAGAAAAUGUUAAUGACAGAUUGAUCUGGAAACAAAUGAUAACCAUUGAUCACCUUUCCCUAGGCCAGUGUUAUAAAAAGUGAGGAAAACGCUUAAAGCGCGAGGCGAGGUGAAGUAUAGCCCCUGCGCUUUUAUUUCCUGAAGCGAGGCGACAUUGAAAAAGCACUCGCUUCUACUGUAGAAGAAGCGCAAGAAAAGCGAAAGCGUGAAAAAGCGCGCUUAAUUUGAAAAAGCACUAAUUAGGGUUUUUUUUUUAAAAUUGUGAGGUUUUUUUUUUUUAAUUUCUGAAAUCCUUACGCGACUUCACAUAGACUUCAAAUUUAUUUUUUGGACUGCUGCGAGGCUGCAACUGCUGCUGCUGUAAGUUCUCUUCUUCUCUUCUUCUUUGCGACUGCUCUGUAUUUUUAUUGCUGUAUUUUUUGUGAUUUAAUUAUGUUUUUACUUUAUAUGUUAAUGACUUAAGAGGAUUAUUGACUAUCUAUUUACUUUUAAUCUAAGAAUAUAUUACCUCUAUUCAGUUAUUUAAUAUUUUAUUUUUUUUAUACUAAAUAUCGCUUUACUUAAAAAAAGCAUGCGCUUCCCUUCUCGCUUCUGUAAAGCAAGCCCUCCUCACUUUUUUCCGCUUCUCGCUUCCCAAAACACUGCCCUAGGCAAAAGAUGAAGUCCAAAACCAUCAAAGACUGACACAAGAUUUUUCCACAAGACCUUAGUAUUAUAGGCAGAAUGUCUAUCACAUCAAUAAUGCUCCUAAAGUGCCGCCUUAAUGGCUACUUUGCAUAUGUACUGAUUUUUCAGAUCUUAACAUAAAGCGAUAAUUUCCCAUGUUGCAGCAAUAUUUCAGGAAACAGUAAACAAGAUACAUUAAAGCCGCAUUUACUCUUGGAAUUGAGAUUUGUAAGUGAUAACUUGAUAAGCCCCUCUAUCAUGCCGUCUCAGUGCAAGACAUCCGCUGGAUGCAAAAAACCAAGUUAUUAUUUUUACUUUUUUUUGGGAAGUAAAUAAAUAAAUAAGUGUCCCUCUCCAAUGAUUUAAAAUCCUUUCAGACGAGAUAGUCAUACAGUUUGACAUGAUCUCUGACCCGUCAACAGAUUAUCUAUACAUGUUCGUCCCUAAAACGAAUAUGGCCGACAUAUAAAGGGGUGUGUUGUAGAUAUAAAAUAAAUAAUAGAAGUGUCAUUUCUUCUUUUAGAUGAGAGAACCACUUCAAUACUAUGCAAUGUUCAGUAUGAUUAAAGCCAAAUUACC